rnacentral:rRNA from 1 species
UACGUAGGGUGCAAGCGUUGUCCGGAAUUAUUGGGCGUAAAGAGCUUGUAGGCGGUUUGUCGCGUCUGCUGUGAAAUUUCGGGGCUCAACCCCGAACUUGCAGUGGGUACGGGCAGACUAGAGUGUGGUAGGGGAGACUGGAAUUCCUGGUGUAGCGGUGAAAUGCGCAGAGAUCGGGAGGAACACCCGUAGCGAAGGCGGCGCUCUGGGCCGGUACUGACGCUGAGGAGCGAAAGCGUGGGGAGCAAACAGG